rnacentral:rRNA from 1 species
UUCCAGACUCCUACGGGAGGCAGCAGUGGGGGAUAUUGCACAAUGGGGGAAACCCUGAUGCAGCGACGCCGCGUGGGUGAAGAAGCGCCUCGGCGCGUAAAGCCCUAUCGGCAGGGAAGAAGAAAUGACGGUACCUGAAUAAGAAGCACCGGCUAAAUACGUGCCAGCAGCCGCGGUAAUACGUAUGGUGCAAGCGUUAUCCGGAUUUACUGGGCGUAAAGGGAGCGCAGGCGGCGCGCCAAGUCUGAUGUGAAACCCCGGGGCUCAACCCCGGGCAUGCAUUGGAAACUGGCGGGCUGGAGUGCCGGAGAGGUAAGCGGAAUUCCUAGUGUAGCGGUGAAAUGCGUAGAUAUUAGGAGGAACACCGGUGGCGAAGGCGGCCUGCUGGACUGCAACUGACGUUGAGGCCCGAAAGCGUGGGGAGCAAACAGGAUUAGAUACCCUAGUACUC